rnacentral:lncRNA from 1 species
GAUUAUUCCGGAAAAACCUUGGUAUAAGAAUUUCACCCUCCCUCGCAAAUACAUAUCCACCAUCAGUAAAAUUAGAUUUGGACAUGCAUGUUAUCCUGCACAUUUAUUUAAGAUAAACAUAUUAGAUUCGAAUAUUUGUCAAGAAUGUGAGGUUAGAAGUGACUUGAACCACAUAUUUUUUGAAUGAAAAAAGCUUAAACACCUAACCAAUCACCUAAU